rfam:Nitrosopumilus sp. BACL13 MAG-120910-bin56 contig01165_1_120910-bin56, whole genome shotgun sequence.
GGAGGAGUAAUCAAGCCUGGCCAACGAUGUAGGACUUAAGAUCCUAUCUUUCAGGAGUUCGUGGGUUCGAAUCCCACCUCCUCCA